rnacentral:rRNA from 1 species
GACGAACGCUGGCGGCGUGCUUAACACAUGCAAGUCGAACGGAAAGGCCCUGCUUUUGUGGGGUGCUCGAGUGGCGAACGGGUGUGUAACACGUGAGUAACCUUCCCUUUACUUUGUGAUAACUUCAGGAAACUGGGGCUAAUACCGGAUAGGAGCUCCUGCUGCAUGGUGGGGUUUGGAAAGUUUCGGCGGUUGGGGAUGGACUGGCGGCUUAUCAGCUUGUUGGUGGGGUAGUGGCUUACCAAGGCUUUGACGGGUAGCCGGCCUGAGAGGGUGAACGGCGACAUUGGGACUGAGAUACGGCGCAGACUCCUACGGGAGGCAGCAGUGGGGAAUAUUGCACAAUGGGCGGAAGCCUGAUGCAGAAACGCCGCGUGCGGGAUGACGGCCUUCGGGUUGUAAACCGCUUUCGCCUGUGACGAAGCGUGAGUGACGGUAAUGGGUAAAGAAGCACCGGCUAACUACGUG